rnacentral:rRNA from 1 species
GACGGAGGAUGCAAGCGUUAUCCGGAAUGAUUGGGCGUAAAGCGUCUGCAGGUGGCAGUUCAAGUCUGCUGUCAAAGACCGGGGCUUAACUUCGGAAAGGCAGUGGAAACUGAACAGCUAGAGUAUGGUAGGGGCAGAGGGAAUUCCUGGUGUAGCGGUGAAAUGCGUAGAGAUCAGGAAGAACACCGGUGGCGAAGGCGGAUCUCUGGGCCGAUACUGACGCUGAGGAGCGAAAGCGUGGGGAGCGAACAGG